rnacentral:rRNA from 1 species
CCUACGGGAGGCAGCAGUGGGGAAUUUUGGACAAUGGGCGCAAGCCUGAUCCAGCUAUUCCGCGUGUGGGAUGAAGGCCCUCGGGUUGUAAACCACUUUUGUAGAGAACGAAAAGACACCUUCGAAUAAAGGGUGUUGCUGACGGUACUCUAAGAAUAAGCACCGGCUAACUACGUGCCAGCAGCCGCGGUAAUACGUAGGGUGCGAGCGUUAUCCGGAAUGAUUGGGCGUAAAGGGUGCGCAGGCGGUCCGGCAAGUCUGGAGUGAAACGCAUGA